UGCAGUUGCACGCCCGAAUCUUACUCUAACCCGCAAGGGAGGAGGAUGCCGAAGGCAGGGCUGAUGACUGGGGUGAAGUCGUAACAAGGUAGCCGUACCGGAAGGUGUGGCUGGAUCACCUCCUUUUAGGGAGACCAUCUGAGAAACUACGAAACCGAAAGAAAAAGUAGUAAUCAGUAUCCCUGGUCGUUCGAGAAAUAGAUGUCAAAGCUUUCAAACUAUUAACUGGUUCGGAUAACUGGUUCGGGAAAUGGGCUAUUAGCUCAGUUGGUUAGAGCGCACCCCUGAUAAGGGUGAGGUCCCUGGUUCAAAUCCAGGAUGGCCCACCUGGAAAAAAGUGACGAAUUUGAAGUAAUGAGUGAGGAAUAAAAAUUCCCAACUCAAGGGUUCAAAAAAAAGCACUUACUUAGUGGGGGUAUAGCUCAGUUGGUAGAGCGCCUGCCUUGCACGCAGGAAGUCAGCGGUUCGAGUCCGCUUACCUCCACUCUCACUGCAUCAAACUAGCUAAGCAUUAAAAUACAAAGACAACCAAAAAAGAGCCGAGAAAUCAGCACCCAGACUAUUCAUGUAAAAGUCGGAAUGCUGGAGUCUAAAACUCUAGUGAGAACCUUGAAAACUGCAUAGAAAUUAAGUCAUCAUCAAGCUUAGUAAGUAAUCCGAUACGUCGGAAAAGCUUUUAAGCAGACCACCAUCAAAGAAGAAAGUGGUCAAGUUACAAAGGGCUAACGGUGGAUACCUAGGCAACCACAGAGA
rnacentral:misc_RNA from 1 species